rnacentral:rRNA from 1 species
CAAAGGUAGCGUAAUCACUUGUUCUUUAAUUGAGGACUAGUAUGAACGGCCCCACGAGGACUACACUGUCUCCUUUUUCUAAUCAAUGAAACUGAUCUCCUCGUGAAGAAGCGAGGAUAAAUAUAUGACGAGAAGACCCUAUGGAGCUUUAAACAACCGGGGUACUUGCUAAUUCCUAAUUCACUUUCUGAAAGCUAAACAAAUUAAAGCAUCUUACCCCCUAGUUUUAGGUUGGGGUGACCACGGAGAAAAAAUCAACCUCCACGCUGUAAGAAGCCUCCCAUCUUCUAAGCUAAGAGUUACAUCUCUAAGCAUCAACACAUUGACUCCCAUUGACCCAAUAAUUUGAUCAACGAACCAAGUUACCCUAGGGAUAACAGCGCAAUCUACUUUAAGAGCUCAUAUCGA